rnacentral:lncRNA from 1 species
CAUAAAUUCAGAUGAGCACAGUAAGAUAAAUGCUUCCUAAAUCCAAAUCUCAAAGUGACAUUAAUGGUGACCUUUUUUUUUUUUAAUUAGAGUGAUAGUGAUUCAGAUCUGCUGAGGAUCUCACCCUUAGAGUUACCUGACCUGAUAAUAUUUUUUGCUGAUGCUCCAUUUAUAUGAGUACAACAGAGGGACCUCAAAGACUACAGCAAUUACUCAUAUAUGGUUUGAUGCCCUUUUUUUCCACCACCGAGGCUCAAGGGAACAACUGUGGUAUGAAAGGAAAAAUUAAUCCUGGGGUCUUCAAAACAGAACACAGUGACCUCAGUCAAAACUCUUUGCACAUAGAAAAAAAUCCUGAAAACCAGUGUUGCACACAGAGAAUGACACAUGGACAUGUUUGGGAAGUGGCAAAGGAGGAGAAAAUUAUUUUUGCACAAAUGAAAGAAGAGCUUCUGGGUCCUCCUCUCUUCCCCCUGUUCUCUUUUUGA